rnacentral:rRNA from 1 species
GACGAACGCUGGCGGCGUGCUUAACACAUGCAAGUCGAGCGGUAAGGCCCUUUCGGGGUACGACGAGCGGCGAACGGGUAGGAGUAACAACGUGGGUGGACCUCGCCCUCCAGCUCUGGGAGUAAGACCUCGGGAAACCGGGGUACCGUAAUAACUGGAGUAUGACUCCACUGACGCAUGUUGGUUGGGGUGGGAAAGACCUU